AUUGAACGCUGGCGGCGUGCCUAACACAUGCAAGUCGAGCGUGAAAGUUCCUUCGGGGACGAGUAAAGCGGCGCACGGGUGAGUAACACGUGGAUAAUCUACCUACAGAUUUGGGAUAACGCUUGGAAACGGGCGCUAAUACCGAAUACGCUCUGGACAUAACGUUUAGGGGAAAGGUGGCCUCUAUUUAUAAGCUAUCGUCUGUGGAUGAGUCCGCGUCUCAUUAGGUAGUUGGUAAGGUAAUGGCUUACCAAGCCUGUGAUGAGUAGCCGGCCUGAGAGGGUGACCGGCCACACUGGGACUGGAACACGGCCCAGACUCCUACGGGAGGCAGCAGUGGGGAAUAUUGCGCAAUGAACGAAAGUUUGACGCAGCGACGCCGCGUGAGGGACGAAGGCCUUCGGGUCGUAAACCUCUGUCAAGAGGGAAGAACGUGCCGUACUCUAACAUAGUGCGGUAUUGACGGUACCUCUGAAGGAAGCACCGGCUAACUCUGUGCCAGCAGCCGCAGUAACAC
rnacentral:rRNA from 1 species